CAAAGAAGAGGAAACAGAAUGCCAAUCAAUGGACUUUCAUCCAACUUCUGAAAAGAAUAGGAAACAGGAUGCCAAUAACUGGACUUAUACCUAACUCCUGAACAACACAGAGGAAACAAAAUGCCAAUAGCCGGGCUUACAUCUAACUCCUCAAAACAAAUAGGAAACAGAGUGCCAAUAGCUGGACUUACAUCUGACUCCUAGCAACAAGGAUGCAUGAAAA
rnacentral:lncRNA from 1 species